UAAAGUUUUUAAAGUGUUAAAUUGUGGCUAAUUUAAUUUUGAUUAUUAAUUAAUAUUUCUAGUGUCUAAUUGGGGUUUUUCCCCAAGGUCCCUUAGGGGCCUAGGGCAUUCCCCAAAUUUGACUUCAACUUUUAACGUUGGCGGUUCCAUGUUAUAUCGCCUCAAGCGGGUAAGUGGGGAAUUUUGGUUAUUAGAGUUGGUUAGGGUCUCUUCCUUAUUGCUUGUGGGGGUUUUUUUAAAGGGUGGGGGGAUAUACCUUUGCCAAAAUUCUAUAAAUCACCGGGUUUCUUCGUGGGGGGGGGGUGGGGUCGGAAACUACAAUUUUAUAAAGGAUCCGUCUAGAGGAAAAUUCCUUGCGGUUAGUUGUAAGUUGCGCACUAACGCUUCCCUUAGGCCAAAGUAAGUAGGCCAAUUCUUGCACGGUUCUGGGGCAUAAUGGGAGCUCGAACACCGUCCCCAAUUGGUGGCGGGAGGCAACCGUUAUGCAAUCGUGCCCCAAUGGAUGCAAGUUUGAAGGAGCAACGCCGGUGGAAGUAAGAAUGCUUUCGGGUUCGUAAAACUCCUGUGGUAGAAGAAGAAUGGUCGGCCAGAGUAACUGUGGUCGGCGUGACCGUAUCCAAACAGAAAGGCAUGUUUAAUUACGUGCCAGCAGCCGAGGUAAUAGGUAGGUGGCAAGCGUUAUCCGGAUUUAUUGGGCGUAAAGCGAGCGCAGGCGGUUUUCUAAGUCUGAUGUGAAAGCCCUCGGCUUAACCGAGGAAGCGCAUCGGAAACUGGGAAACUUGAGUGCAGAAGAGGACAGUGGAACUCCAUGUGUAGCGGUGAAAUGCGUAGAUAUAUGGAAGAACACCAGUGGCGAAGGCGGCUGUCUGGUCUGUAACUGACGCUGAGGCUCGAAAGCAUGGGUAGCGAACAGGAUUAGAUACCCUGGUAGUCCAUGCCGUAAACGAUGAAUGCUAGGUGUUGGAGGGUUUCCGCCCUUCAGUGCCGCAGCUAACGCAUUAAGCAUUCCGCCUGGGGAGUACGACCGCAAGGUUGAAACUCAAAGGAAUUGACGGGGGCCCGCACAAGCGGUGGAGCAUGUGGUUUAAUUCGAAGCAACGCGAAGAACCUUACCAGGUCUUGACAUCUUUUGAUCACCUGAGAGAUCAGGUUUCCCCUUCGGGGGCAAAAUGACAGGUGGUGCAUGGUUGUCGUCAGCUCGUGUCGUGAGAUGUUGGGUUAAGUCCCGCAACGAGCGCAACCCUUAUGACUAGUUGCCAGCAUUUAGUUGGGCACUCUAGUAAGACUGCCGGUGACAAACCGGAGGAAGGUGGGGAUGACGUCAAAUCAUCAUGCCCCUUAUGACCUGGGCUACACACGUGCUACAAUGGAUGGUACAACGAGUUGCGAGACCGCGAGGUCAAGCUAAUCUCUUAAAGCCAUUCUCAGUUCGGACUGUAGGCUGCAACUCGCCUACACGAAGUCGGAAUCGCUAGUAAUCGCGGAUCAGCACGCCGCGGUGAAUACGUUCCCGGGCCUUGUACACACCGCCCGUCACACCAUGAGAGUUUGUAACACCCGAAGCCGGUGGCGUAACCCUUUUAGGGAGCGAGCCGUCUAAGGUGGGACAAAUGAUUAGGGUGAAGUCGUAACAAGAGCCAAGCCA
rnacentral:rRNA from 1 species